GGCUUUUUGGAUUAAUUUAAAGUCUGGCCUGCCCAAUGAUUAAUUGAAUGGCCGCGGUAUUUUGACCGUGCUAAGGUAGCAUAAUCAUUAGUUUUUUAAUUGAAGACUGGAAUGAAAGGUUUGAUGAGAAAAUUACUGUCUCUAAUAGAAUAAAUUAAAUUUUACUUUUAAGUAAGAAGGCUUAAAUAAUUUUGAAAGACGAUAAGACCCUAUAGAGUUUUAUUAAAAUUAUUAUUUUAUAUUUUGGUAAAAAUUUUAUUUGAUAAUAAUUUUAAUUUGGUUGGGGUGAUUGGAAAAUUUAUUUAACUUUUCUUUAUAAAAACAAUUAUAAAUGAUUUAAUGAUCCAUAAUUUGUGAUUAUAAGAUAAAAUUACCUUAGGGAUAACAGCGUAAUUUUUUUUGAGAGUUCUUAUCGAAAAAAGAGAUUGCGACCUCGAUGUUGGAUUAAGAUAAAAUUUUGGUGUAGAAGCUAAAAUAUUGAGUCUGUUCGACUUUUUUAAUCUUACA
rnacentral:rRNA from 1 species